rnacentral:tRNA from 1 species
GGGCCCGUAGCUCAGCCCGGUUAGAGCGCCAGGCUCAUAACCUGUUGGUCGGGUGUUCAAAUCGCCCCGGGCCCA